rnacentral:rRNA from 1 species
AAACCCCCUCGCCGAAAGACUAAGGUUUCCUGAUCAACGCUAAUCGGAUCAGGGUCAGUCGGGUCCUAAGGCUCAGCCGAACGGCGAUGCCGAUGGCAGAAACGGUUAAUAUUCCGUUACUACCUUCAGGAGUGACGUGGAGACGCAGUAGUGACAGUGCCGCCAUCUGACGGAAUAGAUGGUUGAAGGGUGUAGGAGUCGAUCAUGGCAGGCAAAUCCACCAUGAGAUCCGAACCUGAUAGUAUGCCGCGUCCUUCGGGACAAGGCAAUAGUGCGCGUAAGCAUGCUGCCGAGAAAAUCCGCUAAACUUAAUCCUGCAGGUACCCGUACCGCAAACGGACACACGUAGUCGGGAUGAAUAUUCUAAGGCGCUUGAGUGAUUCACGGUUAAGGAACUAGGCAAACUGACCCUGUAACUUCGGGAUAAAGGGUCCCUACCCUUUUAUGGGAGGGCGCAGAGAAUCGGUCCAGGCAACUGUUUAACAAAAACACAGGGCUGUGCCAAAUCGAAAGAUCCAGUAUACAGCCUGACACCUGCCCGGUGCUGGAAGGUUAAGAGGAGAUGUCAUCGAUAAGAGAAGCGUUGAAUUGAAGCCCCAGUAAACGGCGGCCGUAACUAUAACGGUCCUAAGGUAGCGAAAUUCCUUGUCGGGUAAGUUCCGACCUGCACGAAUGGUGUAAUGAUCUGGACGCUGUCUCAACCGUGAGCUCAGUGAAAUUGUAGUAUCGGUGAAGAUGCCGAUUACCCGCGAUGGGACGAAAAGACCCCGUGAACCUUUACUAUAGCUUAUCAUUGAAUCUGGGCACGUGAUGUGUAGGAUAGGUCGGAGGCUUUGAAGCAGGUACGCCAGUAUUUGUGGAGCCGCUGUUGAAAUACGACCCUUUAUUUGUUUGGAUUCUAACCCGUGGAUACGGGGACAUUGAUUGGUGGGUAGUUUGACUGGGGUGGUCGCCUCCAAAAGCGUAACGGAGGCUUCUAAAGGUGCCCUCCGGCCGAUUGGUAACCGGCCUUAGAGUGUAAUGGCAUAAGGGCGCUUGACUGGGAGACUGACAAGUCGAUCAGGUAGGAAACUAGAGCAUAGUGAUCCGGUGUUUCCGUAUGGA